GGGUAUUCCAGAAAGCAGGUUCAACACACUCUGAGUCUAUCCCUGAACUCUGAGUUGACUUACUCUGAGUCGGGAAACUCUGAGUAUCCGGUUCCAGAACAGCUGAUCUGAGUUAGUUCAAUCAACUCUGAGUAUGUUAACCUCGAGGUACGCGCGUGCACAACCACUGAAAAAAGCCAUCAUCAAUGGAGCCCCGAUACCACGAGUCACCAUGACAACCGAGAAAAAAAAAGAUCAACACAUUUCAGUGCGAAGGAGUUGGAGAUCCUUAUGCUGGGCUACGGAGAAUAUGAGCACAUAUUUCGCCGCGAAUGCAACACAGCUGCAGCAGCGAAGGAGAGAGAGACCGCAUGGGAGAGAAUUGCUGCCCGAGUCAACGCGUAAGUUUGAACGUACUAUUCCAUUGACGUAACAUUUAACCGUAAGAUCAUAACAUAGUCUAUAGUUAUGAAUAUAAGUAGGAAUGAAAUCUGAGUUUUUCAUUUAGGUGCAAUCCAACAGGAGAAAGGAGGACUUAGAAGCAGCUCAAAAUGAAACAUAAAAACAUCAUUCAAAAAGCCAACAGAAAGAAGGCAGAGGCCCGAAAAACGGGUGGAGGGCCACCUCCACCACCUCUGACAGAGGCUGAGGAGCUGGCUCUCAGCCAAUACAGGGGUCGCCCUGUGGCUGAAGGCAUCCCCGGGGGAAGCUCAUCUGAGCCUGUCACCCCCCAGGACACAAGCGCCUACAUCAGAUGCAAGUAUACACUUAUGUCUUUUUUUUAAAUAAAACUUUUAGACGCUGUCUGCUGCCACAGGGAGAGAUCCGGGGGGGCCUACUGAAGUGUGUCUUAAUAUUAUGUAUAGCUACUGGCACUGCUCUACCCAUUCAUAUUCAUUUACAUUCUUGAGUGGAAUUUGGAGUUUGACAUGUACACUGAAGUGAUGAGCAUAGAUAAUGGACAAACUAGCACAUUCUUGUCCUUCAACAGAACAUGGCUGGGCAUCACCAAGAGGAGGGUCCAUCAACUUCUAGAGCACAGCUUGACACAGUGAGAUUUUCGGUCAAUACCAUGUUAAAUCUGUAUGUAGAACUGCAGGAAUUAAAUGUCGUCCAUAUGUUUCCGAGUUGCCGGUAAAAGAGUUGUACAGGGUGCACCUAAUGAAAACCAUUCAAAAAACCAAGAAAGAAAUGGUGUACCUGGACCGGCAAAUCAGAAAAACAGACUUGGAAAUUCUAUUACUUGAACGCCAGUUGAGGUGGGGGCAUUGUCAUGGUGAAACAGGUGAAUAUGUAAAAUAUGUUAAUAGUUGGAACUAUAUUACAAAUCCUGACUGUUGGCUUUUGUACUUUUAGAGAAUAAAGAAGAACCAAAACACA